rnacentral:rRNA from 1 species
UCCCAAAGUCAUGGUUAAGUGGGAAACGAUGUGGGAAGGCCCAGACAGCCAGGAUGUUGGCUUAGAAGCAGCCAUCAUUUAAAGAAAGCGUAAUAGCUCACUGGUCGAGUCGGCCUGCGCGGAAGAUGUAACGGGGCUAAACCAUGCACCGAAGCUGCGGCAGCGACGCUUAUGCGUUGUUGGGUAGGGGAGCGUUCUGUAAGCCUGUGAAGGUGUGCUGUGAGGCAUGCUGGAGGUAUCAGAAGUGCGAAUGCUGACAUAAGUAACGAUAAAGCGGGUGAAAAGCCCGCUCGCCGGAAGACCAAGGGUUCCUGUCCAACGUUAAUCGGGGCAGGGUGAGUCGACCCCUAAGGCGAGGCCGAAAGGCGUAGUCGAUGGGAAACAGGUUAAUAUUCCUGUACUUGGUGUUACUGCGAAGGGGGGACGGAGAAGGCUAUGUUGGCCGGGCGACGGUUGUCCCGGUUUAAGCGUGUAGGCUGGUUUUCCAGGCAAAUCCGGAAAAUCAAGGCUGAGGCGUGAUGACGAGGCACUACGGUGCUGAAGCAACAAAUGCCCUGCUUCCAGGAAAAGCCUCUAAGCAUCAGGUAACAUCAAAUCGUACCCCAAACCGACACAGGUGGUCAGGUAGAGAAUACCAAGGCGCUUGAGAGAACUCGGGUGAAGGAACUAGGCAAAAUGGUGCCGUAACUUCGGGAGAAGGCACGCUGAUAUGUAGGUGAAGCGACUUGCUCGUGGAGCUGAAAUCAGUCGAAGAUACCAGCUGGCUGCAACUGUUUAUUAAAAACACAGCACUGUGCAAACACGAAAGUGGACGUAUACGGUGUGACGCCUGCCCGGUGCCGGAAGGUUAAUUGAUGGGGUUAGCGCAAGCGAAGCUCUUGAUCGAAGCCCCGGUAAACGGCGGCCGUAACUAUAACGGUCCUAAGGUAGCGAAAUUCCUUGUCGGGUAAGUUCCGACCUGCACGAAUGGCGUAAUGAUGGCCAGGCUGUCUCCACCCGAGACUCAGUGAAAUUGAACUCGCUGUGAAGAUGCAGUGUACCCGCGGCAAGACGGAAAGACCCCGUGAACCUUUACUAUAGCUUGACACUGAACAUUGAGCCUUGAUGUGUAGGAUAGGUGGGAGGCUUUGAAGUGUGGACGCCAGUCUGCAUGGAGCCGACCUUGAAAUACCACCCUUUAAUGUUUGAUGUUCUAACGUUGACCCGU